rnacentral:lncRNA from 1 species
UGCAGAGUCUCUAUCCUCUUGGCUGAGUAAUAGGAUAUGAUGCCAGGUGUUUCCCAUCAUUUUGGACUUUCAGCCAAGGGUCAAAGCUAUAAACAACAGUUGUUCAGUGUUCCUGUAUUCUAGAGCGCUCUGACAGGCCUCCUGCACUGCCUCUGAGGACGUCAGAGGAGACCUUGGGAAACUCUUAACACAUCAGUCUAGUUCCCAGCUAAACCUCCCCAAUGGAUCAUCCCCUCCCCAGCUAAACCUCCUGAACACAUCACCUGUCCCCAGCUAAGCCUUGUGUCUCAUCCCUGACCUUUGGAUAUAUGUGGGGAGAACGCUGUGCUGGCAGAAGGCCAAGAGUCAGCUUGUUGGAGCACAGUAUGGCUGGGGAGAUGUGACUUCCUUUCCUCCCCAAUGGCUCUCCUCCACAUAGAUGGAUAGGAAAGACCCCAGAGCAUCCCUCAUGGGGGCCACACUGGAAGAGGUGGUGGUGGCUGGCUGGUUUCCAGUUAGAUGCUUGCUGGUCCACAGAACGGAGAGCCCAUGUGAGGACAUGCCAUGGGUUAGGAAGUGAGAGAGCUCUGAGACAGCUGGAGACACUUCCGGCAUCCUAUGUGACUAGAGAGGCUGGGUGCCCACGGGGAGCCUGGGUCAGGAGGGCAGAAUGUCUGAGAAGACAAGACAUCCUGGCCAACCCAGUUCUCUAGGACCUCAGUGGUGCCAAGAGGGCCCACUUGAGCAUCUCCUGAUCUCCAUGGAACGACACAGAAGGGGUGAGGAUGGGCAGGGCCUUGGAGUGCCUAGAGAGGGAAAUGGGGACUUGUUUGCUCCAUUCGGGACCAAAAGGAGAAAGCUCCUUUUCUGGAAGUUCCUCAGAGAUAGAGAGCUGGGUGAAGCUGAACACCACCUAACGAGAGCAACACUCACCGUCUACUCAGAGAUCAGGAGGACCCCCAGAC